rnacentral:rRNA from 1 species
GCCGCCGCGGUAAUACGUAGGUGGCAAGCGUUGUCCGGAUUUACUGGGUGUAAAGGGUGCGCAGGCGGGACUGCAAGUUGGAUGUGAAAAUCCGAGGCUCAACCUCGGAACUGCAUCCAAAACUGUGGUUCUUGAGUGGAGCAGAGGUAAGCGGAAUUCCGAGUGUAGCGGUGAAAUGCGUAGAUAUUCGGAGGAACACCAGUGGCGAAGGCGGCUUACUGGGCUCUAACUGACGCUGAGGCACGAAAGUGUGGGUAGCAAACAGGAUUAGAUACCCC